rnacentral:rRNA from 1 species
UACGGAGGAUGCAAGCGUUACUCGGAAUCACUGGGCGUAAAGGGCGCGUAGGCGGCCUAGCAAGUCUGGUGUGAAAGCCCAGGGCUCAACCCUGGAAGGGCACUGGAAACUGUUAGGCUUGAGUUCCGGAGAGGAGGGGGGAAGUCCCGGUGUAGCGGUGAAAUGCGUAGAUAUCGGGAGGAAUACCGGUGGCGAAGGCGCCCCUCUGGCCGGAAACUGACGCUGAGGCGCGAAAUCGUGGGGUGCAAACAGG